rnacentral:rRNA from 1 species
UAAUACGAAGGAUCCAAGCGUUAUCCGGAUUUAUUGGGUUUAAAGGGUGCGUAGGCGGGCUAUUAAGUCAGUGGUGAAAGCCCCAAGCUUAACUUGGGAAUUGCCAUUGAUACUGAUGGUCUUGAGUACACUUGAAGUGGGCGGAAUGUGUCAUGUAGCGGUGAAAUGCUUAGAUAUGACACAGAACACCGAUUGCGAAGGCAGCUCACUAAAUUGUAACUGACGCUGAGGCACGAAAGCGUGGGGAUCAAACAGGAUUAGAUACCCUGGUAGUCCACGCCCUAAACGAUGAUUACUCGAUGUGUGCAAUACACCGUACGCGUCUGAGCGAAAGCAUUAAGUAAUCCACCUGGGGAGUACGACCGCAAGGUUG